AUUGAACGCUGGCGGCAGGCCUAACACAUGCAAGUCGAGCGGAGCGGCUGACGGGUGAGUAAUGCCUAGGAAUCUGCCUGGUAGUGGGGGAUAACGUCCGGAAACGGGCGCUAAUACCGCAUACUAUCAGAUUAGCCUAGGUCGGAUUAGCUAGUUGGUGGGGUAAAGGCCUACCAAGGCGACGAUCCGUAACUGGUCUGAGAGGAGGAUCAGUAACACUGGAACGGAGAAACGGUCCAGACUCCUAAGGGAGGCAGCAGGGGGGAAUAUUGGACAAUGGGCGAAAGCCUGAUACAGACAGGCCGGGGGGGUGAAGAAGGUCUUAGGAUUGUAAAGCACUUUAAGUUGGGAGGCGUUACCAACAGAAUAAGCACCGGCUAACUUCGUGCCAGCAGCCGCGGUAAUAC
rnacentral:rRNA from 1 species